rnacentral:rRNA from 1 species
UGGGGAAUAUUGCACAAUGGGCGAAAGCCUGAUGCAGCAACGCCGCGUGAGUGAUGAAGGCCUUCGGGUUGUAAAGCUCUGUCUUUUGGGACGAUAAUGACGGUACCAAAGGAGGAAGCCACGGCUAACUACGUGCCAGCAGCCGCGGUAAUACGUAGGUGGCAAGCGUUGUCCGGAUUUACUGGGCGUAAAGGAUGCGUAGGCGGAUUUUUAAGUGAGAUGUGAAAACCCUAAGCUUAACUUGGGGACUGCAUUUCAUACUGGAAAUCUAGGGUGCGGGAGAGGAGAAUGGAAUUCCUAGUGUAGCGGUGAAAUGCGUAGAGAUUAGGAAGAACACCAGUGGCGAAGGCGAUUCUCUGGACCGUAACUGACGCUGAGGCAUGAAAGCGUGGGUAGCAAAACAGGAUUAGAUACCCUGGUAGUCCACGCCGUAAACGAUGAGUACUAGGUGUAGGAGGUAUCGACCCCUUCUGUGCCGCAGUUAAACACAAUAAGUACUCCGCCUGGGAAGUACGAUCGCAAGAUUAAAAACUUAAAGGAAUUGACGGGGUCAUAGCUGUUUCCU